rnacentral:misc_RNA from 1 species
AAGUCGUAACAAGGUUUCCGUAGGUGAACCUGCGGAAGGAUCAUCAACAGAGGGGAAGAAUAAUUUUUCCCCGAAAUCCUGUAUUCACCCCAAGUUCCUUUCAAAAUUUUAAUAUACGAUAAACUUGCAAAAAAGACCACCUUCGUCUGGUGGCGCUUAAUGCAUACGCGAAAACUUUCAACAACGGAUCUCUUGGCUCUC